rnacentral:rRNA from 1 species
UACGAAGGGGGCUAGCGUUGUUCGGAAUCACUGGGCGUAAAGCGCACGCAGGCGGAUUGAUAAGUCAGGGGUGAAAUCCCGGAGCUCAACUUCGGAAUUGCCUUUGAUACUGUCUAUCUUCGAGUUCGGGAGAGGUUGGCGGAAUUCCUAGUGUAGAGGUGAAAUUCGUAGAUAUUAGGAAGAACACCAGUGGCGAAGGCGGCCAACUGGCCCGAUACUGACGCUCAUGUGCGAAAGCGUGGGGAGCAAACAGGG